rnacentral:rRNA from 1 species
GACGAACGCUGGCGGCGUGCUUAACACAUGCAAGUCGAACGAUGAAGAAGAGAAACGCGAACUUCGGUUCAAAUUUCACUUCGGAUUAGUGGCAGACGGGUGAGUAACGCGUGAGCAACCUACCUCUUACAAAGGGAUAGCCUCGGGAAACCGUGAUUAAUACCAUAUGACACAUUCAUAAGGCAUCUUAAGACUGUUAAAGCUACGGCGGUAAGAGAUGGGCUCGCGUCCCAUUAGCUAGUUGGUGAGGUAACGGCCCACCAAGGCGACGAUGGGUAACCGGGCUGAGAGGGUGAACGGUCACAUUGGAACUGAGACACGGUCCAAACUCCUACGGGAGGCAGCAGUGGGGAAUAUUGCACAAUGGAGGGAACUCUGAUGCAGCGACGCCGCGUGAGCGAUGAAGGAAUUCGUGUCGUAAAGCUCUGUUCUAUGGGAAGAAAAGGACGGUACCAUAGGAGAAAGCCCCGGCUAAAUACGUG